rnacentral:rRNA from 1 species
UACGGGGGGGGCGAGCGUUGUUCGGAAUUACUGGGCGUAAAGGGUUUGUAGGUGGCCUGCUAAGUCAGACGUGAAAUCCCUCAGCUUAACUGGGGAACUGCGUCUGAUACUGGCGGGCUUGAGGACAGGAGAGGAACGCGGAAUUCCAGGUGUAGCGGUGAAAUGCGUAGAUAUCUGGAGGAACACCGAUGGCGAAGGCAGGUCUCUGGGCCAUAACUGACGCUGAGAAGCGAAAGCAUGGGGAGCGAACAGG